rnacentral:rRNA from 1 species
GCCCAGAUGGGAUUAGCUUGUUGGUGAGGUAACGGCUCACCAAGGCGACGAUCCCUAGCUGGUCUGAGAGGAUGACCAGCCACACUGGAACUGAGACACGGUCCAGACUCCUACGGGAGGCAGCAGUGGGGAAUAUUGCACAAUGGGCGCAAGCCUGAUGCAGCCAUGCCGCGUGUAUGAAGAAGGCCUUCGGGUUGUAAAGUACUUUCAGCGGGGAGGAAGGUGUUGUGGUUAAUAACCGCAGCAAUUGACGUUACCCGCAGAAGAAGCACCGGCUAACUCCGUGCCAGCAGCCGCGGUAAUACGGAGGGUGCAAGCGUUAAUCGGAAUUACUGGGCGUAAAGCGCACGCAGGCGGUCUGUCAAGUCGGAUGUGAAAUCCCCGGGCUCAACCUGGGAACUGCAUUCGAAACUGGCAGGCUUGAGUCUUGUAGAGGGGGGUAGAAUUCCAGGUGUAGCGGUGAAAUGCGUAGAGAUCUGGAGGAAUACCGGUGGCGAAGGCGGCCCCCUGGA